rnacentral:lncRNA from 1 species
CUCACCUGAUCAAAUUCCAUAAUAAGGAUAUAAUUUUUGUGUUCUCAUUCAAGACUUGGAAUGUAUUAUCGGGUAUUUUUUAAUUACAUGCCAAAAGAUUUUUUUCUUUGUAUGUUUUCAAGAUUUCAGCUACAUCAGAAGAUGUGAACAGAGUGAUAACUCUGAUCCUCAGGACAUCAGAAGAAAAAGCUGCUACCUCCUAGCAACAAUACCUUCAUAUGCUUCAAGCACGGGGCUUUGGAAGGCAUAGUAGUCCUUUGCAUUAGACUAUAGAAGAACGUCCAAUGCCGCUGUAUGCCAACUUCACCAUAGGACCAGGAUGAAGAUAACUUGUAUGGAAUUAAUCAAGGCUCCAUUGAUAACUAUUAAAUAUUCAAGCUUGUAAGAUUUUUUUCUGGUUAAUUUUCUCUGAGUGUAACAGUAAUACUGAAGGUUUUGUGUUCUGUGGUUGGAGGAACGUGACUUUUAGAGUUAAUGGGGUGAACACUCAUUAAUAAUUUGGUCAAGAUUCAUUUUAUAUAGAUAGUCUUUCAGUAAGGACAGGG